rnacentral:rRNA from 1 species
AAACCAGCACCUCAAGUGGUCAGGAUGAUUAUUGGGCCUAAAGCAUCCGUAGCCGGCUCUGUAAGUUUUCGGUUAAAUCUGUACGCUUAACGUACAGGCUGCCGGGAAUACUGCAGAGCUAGGGAGUGGGAGAGGUAGACGGUACUCGAUAGGAAGGGGUAAAAUCCUUUGAUCUAUUGAUGACCACCUGUGGCGAAGGCGGUCUACCAGAACAUGUCCGACGGUGAGGGAUGAAAGCUGGGGGAGCAAACCGGAUUAGAUACCCCCGUAGUCC